rnacentral:rRNA from 1 species
UACAGAGGUCUCAAGCGUUGUUCGGAUUCAUUGGGCGUAAAGGGUGCGUAGGCGGCGCGGUAAGUCGGGUGUGAAAUCUCGGAGCUUAACUCCGAAACUGCAUUCGAUACUGCCGUGCUUGAGGACUGGAGAGGAGACUGGAAUUUACGGUGGUAGCGGUGAAAUGCGUAGAUAUCGUAAGGAAGACCAGUGGCGAAGGCGGGUCUCUGGACAGUUCCUGACGCUGAGGCACGAAGGUCAGGGGAGCAAACGGG